rnacentral:rRNA from 1 species
AAGUCGUAACAAGGUUUCUGUAGGUGAACCUGCAGAAGGAUCAUUAGUGAAGAUUUGGGCAGGCCAUACGGACGCCAAAAAGUGUCCCUGGCCGCCUACACCCACUAUACAUCCACAAACCCGUGUGCACUGUCUUGGAGAAAGGCUUCAGAGAAGUUUUUUGUGGCCUCUCUUGGGGUCUUUCUUCGCUACAAACUCGAAUGGUUAGUAUGAACGUGGAACUUGGUUGGACCGUCACUGGCCAACAAACUAUACACAACUUUCGACAACGGAUCUCUUGGUUCUCCCAUCGAUGAAGAACGCAGCGAAACGCGAUAGGUAAUGUGAAUUGCAGAAUUCCGUGAAUCAUCGAAUCUUUGAACGCACCUUGCGCUCUAUGGCAAUCCGUAGAGCAUGCCUGUUUGAGUGCCAUGAAAUCUCCCACCCCAAGCGGUUUUUAAAUGAAACGGCUUGGCGGAUGGGGUCUGGAUGGGUGCCUCUGCCUGCGCUACCUAGCACAGGCUCGCCCGAAAUGCAUGAGCGCCUUGAGACACUUUGCAUCCGCCUCUCUGUUUGGGAGGAGGCGGCCAAGCAGUGUUUUUCUCCUGGCAUGGCAUGAUACGUCAUUUGCUAUGUCGCCUAAAGGAGGAAUGUUUGGUUGUGUCUGCGUGUGCUUCGAACUUGCCUCUGUGGCACAUCCCAAUUUCACUUCUGGUCUCAAAUCAGGUAGGAUCACCCGCUGAACUUAAGCAUAUCAAUAAACCGGAGGAA